rnacentral:tmRNA from 1 species
GGGGCUGACAUGGAUUUGACAGCAGGAUGAGAUGUUGCGUAAGCACGCAGAGAGUCGCUGAUCGCUCUCUUUAAUACCUGGUCUUCAAAGAAUUAACUGGCGAAAACACUUACGCUCUCGCUGCUUGAUUGAAGUAUAGUAAAUCCGAGCAUUAUCUCGGCACAAGGUGCUGAGACGAGACAUCACUCAGAGACUAUCGCCCUGGAGCGCUCUGGUAAAGUGGUGCAGCAAAACCAGGGAUAGUCAUGCGCGGCCUCGCACGCACGACGAAAUUUUAGAGGAUAAGGCAUAGGUUGGUGGUCCAGGUCUUGCCCAUGCUCGAAAACCAAGUCUGGAAUAAGCGUGUAGAAAGCGCAGGAUGUCCCUGUUUGGACGAGGGUUCAAUUCCCUCCAGCUCCACAA